rnacentral:tRNA from 1 species
GCUUCGUGGUGUAAUGGUCAGCACACUCGACGUGAAUCCGAGAGAUCCGAGGUUCGAGUCUCGGCAAAAGCA